AAAUCCUAUUGAGGUUGUAAUCUCAACUGCACCGAUCAGUCACCCUCGGUCUUUUCUCAACUGGCGAAUUGACAAAAUUAUGUUAUUGUGAUAGCCAUUAUAUCGAUUUUUUGUCAUAUUUUCGAAGUAAUCUCUCUCCAGUUUCAUUUCUAACAUAUAUAUUCAAAUUAAGUUAGCAUAAUAUUGUUUUGAACAUGCGAGCCCCUGGUGGGUGUAGUUUAAAUUUUUUUUUUUUUUUUUUUAUAAAAAAUAUAUUAUACAAAUAAUAUAAUAAAUAGUUCUUUAUCAUUAUAUUUCUAUAAAUACGAAACCAUCUUCUUAAGAUUCUAUAUUAUACCCAUUUUUUCGUAAAAAUGUAAAAUAGGAAGUGUAAAUUAUAAAAAUGUAACAAGCGCUGUUUGACUGCAUUUGGUGUGAAUGAAACUAUUGUGAUUUGAGAAAUCUUUGGGACCACGAUCACAAGGUCGCCGAUUCGAUUCUCAUGGCGUAUAAUAAUAAUUUAAUUUUAAAUGGUGAAAAUGAUUCUGACUUUCGAUGAUUAAGUUUUGACCGAAUGCAGUCGUCGUACUAUAAACAAACUGAGCUUUAAGCGUCUCUGCGGAGCUAUGCUGUAUUUAUAAAGUGUAAUUUAUUAUGAUGUUUAACGAGAAAUCUACCGGCUUGUAACUUAGCGUAGAACGAAAAUGACUAUACACAAUAAAAAUUAUUGAAAUUAUUUUGAAAUAUUGAAAAAAAAAAAA
rnacentral:misc_RNA from 1 species